ACUGAUUGAACGUGCUUGCACGGACUUGACGUUGGUUUACCAGCGAGUGGCGGACGGGUGAGUAACACGUAGGUAACCUGCCCCAAAGCGGGGGAUAACAUUUGGAAACAGAUGCUAAUACCGCAUAACAAUUUGAAUCGCAUGAUUCAAAUUUAAAAGAUGGCCUCGGCUAUCACUUUGGGAUGGACCUGCGGCGCAUUAGCUUGUUGGUAGGGUAACGGCCUACCAAGGCUGUGAUGCGUAGCCGAGUUGAGAGACUGAUCGGCCACAAUGGAACUGAGACACGGUCCAUACUCCUACGGGAGGCAGCAGUAGGGAAUCUUCCACAAUGGGCGCAAGCCUGAUGGAGCAACACCGCGUGAGUGAAGAAGGGUUUCGGCUCGUAAAGCUCUGUUGUUAGAGAAGAACGUGCGUGAGAGCAACUGUUCACGCAGUGACGGUAUCUAACCAGAAAGUCACGGCUAACUAGGUGCCAGCAGCCGCGGUAAUACGUAGGUGGCAAGCGUUAUCCGGAUUUAUUGGGCGUAAAGCGAGUGCAGGCGGUUUGAUAAGUCUGAUGUGAAAGCCUUUGGCUUAACCAAAGAAGUGCAUCGGAAACUGUCAGACUUGAGUGCAGAAGAGGACAGUGGAACUCCAUGUGUAGCGGUGGAAUGCGUAGAUAUAUGGAAGAACACCAGUGGCGAAGGCGGCUGUCU
rnacentral:rRNA from 1 species